AUUGUUUUAAUAAAAGUAAAAGUAAAAAAAAUGUUUUUUUCUAGAUUAUUAAUGAAAGUGGUUCUAGUGCUAUUUGGCACUUCAUACACUUGAGGAACCUAUAAAAUGUAUUUAUUUCUCAUUUGCUGAACACCAUUAGCUAUAUUUGAAAUAUAUGUUACAGUGGUUUGGCACAAUAUAUCAUAGUUGCUCAGUGCUCAACAGUCUAGCCGCCAACUUAGUACAAUUUUCAGCAAGAACUUUCAUCCAGGUAGAUGUAUUGUUCAUUGGCGGCUGAACUAGGUUGACCUAUAAUACUUCAAAUGCUUUGUACACACAGAAGAACGCCUUUAAGUUGAUCAGUUAAAUGUGGUAGUAUUUUGAUUUUUUUUUUGUUUUGAACUGAUACAGAGGAAAAUAAUCACAUAUUAAUAACCAUAGAGGACAGACAACUAUAAACCGGAAUAAAGAACAUAACAAAAGAAAUGAGGAAAAAAAUUAUGACAACAAUGCAAAGUGCAAUCUUGUGUCAUUUUUAUACCCAGGUUUCUGCAUUUUUUCUUUACUUUUUAUUUUUAUUCAGUUUUUCAUCUUUAGCAUAUAAUUUCUACAGAAAUUAUACAGAGAUACAGAAAGUAUAACCUGUACCAGACAUAAUAGGAUACCAAAAGUAUAGUCUAUACCUUUCAGCCCCCCCAGCCCCCCCAGCCCCCCA